rnacentral:tRNA from 1 species
GAGGGUAUAGCCCCAGUGGUAGAGUGCAUGCUUAGCAUGCACGAGGUCCUGGGUUCGAUCCCCAGUACCUCCU